GAUGUCGACUGGAUCAUGCAGGGUCGUGGUCCGACCAGCGCCGGCUCCGGGGGGAGGUUCACGGCCGAACGGCACGUGCUCUUUUCGGACGCACUACAGCGUCAUCAGCGUACCCAGGAGCUCUACUCAGCCUCCUUCCCCACUACCCCCAGCGGUUAUCGUCCCACCCGAUGGAGUGAAAUGCCGAUGCUGAGUCGAGCCAAGUCAGAUCAUGAGAUACAUCGAGCCAAAAAGGGAAGCGCGUUGGAUCGACUCUGGCAGGCAGACAUCUCCACCAG